UACGGGGGGGGCAAGCGUUGUUCGGAAUUACUGGGUUUAAAGGGUGCGUAGGCGGCCAUGUAAGUCAGGAGUGAAAGUUUGCGGCUCAACCGUAAAAUUGCUUUUGAUACUGCAUGGCUGGAAUCAGGAUGAGGUCAGCGGAAUGUGGCAUGUAGCGGUGAAAUGCAUAGAUAUGCCAUAGAACACCAAUUGCGAAGGCAGCUGGCUAGACCUGUAUUGACGCUGAGGCACGAAAGCGUGGGGAGCGAACAGG
rnacentral:rRNA from 1 species